CCUCUGCAAUAGGCGAAAGCUUGACAGGGUUACUCUGAGUGAUUCCCGCUAAGGGGAUCUUUUGGCACCUCUAAAAAUGGUGCAGAAUAAGGGGUGGGCAAGUCUGGUGUCAGCCGCCGCGGUAAUACCAGCACCCCGAGUGGUCGGGACGAUUAUUGGGCCUAAAGCAUCCGUAGCCGGUCCUACAAGUCUUCCGUUAAAUCCACCUGCUUAACAGAUGGGCUGCGGAAGAUACUAUAGGGCUAGGAGGCGGGAGAGGCAAGCGGUACUCAGCGGGUAGGGGUAAAAUCCUCUGAUCCACUGAA
rnacentral:rRNA from 1 species